GUGGGGAAUCUUAGACAAUGGGCGCAAGCCUGAUCUAGCCAUGCCGCGUGAGCGAUGAAGGCCUUAGGGUUGUAAAGCUCUUUCGUGGGGGAAGAUAAUGACUGUACCCCAAGAAGAAGCCCCGGCUAACUCCGUGCCAGCAGCCGCGGUAAUACGGAGGGGGCUAGCGUUGUUCGGAAUUACUGGGCGUAAAGCGCACGUAGGCGGACUGGAAAGUCAGGGGUGAAAUCCCGGGGCUCAACCCCGGAACUGCCUUUGAAACUCCCAGUCUUGAGUUCGAGAGAGGUGAGUGGAAUUCCGAGUGUAGAGGUGAAAUUCGUAGAUAUUCGGAGGAACACCAGUGGCGAAGGCGGCUCACUGGCUCGAUACUGACGCUGAGGUGCGAAAGCGUGGGGAGCAAACAGGAUUAGAUACCCGAGUAGUCC
rnacentral:rRNA from 1 species